CCUGCAUAAUGUUAAAAAGUAACAAGAAAAAAUCAUGCUAAGAUUCUUAGUUAGAAAAAUAAUUCACAAUACCAAACUCAUGAAACUUAACAUUUCCUACAACUUUAUCUUUUCCUUUUUUUAAAAAAGUGAAAGCAUAGAACUAUAUAACCUUUCAUAUUUAACAAGUGGGUUUUUAAAAAAAUUGUUUUGCAGUAUUCUGCACACCUGGAAGAUGUCAAAAUCAGAGAUGGCUGUUUCAGAAGAGAAGUGGUGGUUGGAGGGGCUCAGAAACAGAUGGCCCAAAAUAUGGUGCUUUGACAUGCUGAACUGAAGAAGAAGCCUCAAGUUCUCUCUGACCUCCCCUACCCUGGAUGCCAAAUUCCCUAUCUCUCCUAAAGCACAGGAUGAGGUUGUUCUCUGAAGUUCCCUUAGCUGCCUGAGUCCAAACCUGCCAAAGAAGAAAACAGUGACCUUUGGUCCCUCUCCUGAGUGUUCAUUAACUGUACCCAUAUCGCAGGAAGAAAGACUGAAGUCCAUCAACACACUUGGACAGACUUUAGUCAAAAACCAUUGUCUGCUCUGCGGGCCCAACAGACUUUGUCCGAGGCCACUGUUACGUUCUCCAAGCCCAUUGAAUUCCCCUAAAAAUCAUUUUCUACUUGCUAAAAUCACCCACACUUCUCCAUCUCUCUUUCCUCUAGGAUGAAGGGUACGUAAUUAUCUUUACUCCUUGCACACUAAUAAAUGUGUAUGCCUUUUCUCCUAUUAA